GACGAACGCUGGCGGCGUGCUUAACACAUGCAAGUCGAACGGAAAGGCCCUGCUUUUGUGGGGUGCUCGAGUGGCGAACGGGUGAGUAACACGUGUGUAACCUGCCCUUGACUUUGGGAUAACUUCAGGAAACUGGGGCUAAUACCGGAUAGGAGCUCCUGCUGCAUGGGGGUGGUUGGAAAGUUUCGGCGGUGGGGGAUGGACUCGCGGGUUAUCAGCUUGUUGGUGGAGUAGUGGAUUACCAAGGCUUUGACGGAGAGCCGGCCUGAGAGGGUGAACGGCCACCAUGGGCCUACGGUACGACCCAGACUCCUACGGGACGCAGCAGUGGAGAAUCUUACAGAAUGGGCGGACGCCUGAUGCAGAAACCCCGCGUGCGGGAUGACGGCCUUCGGGUUGUAAACCGCUUUCGAAUGUGACGAAGAGUGAGUGACGGUAAUGGGUAAAGAAGCACCGGCUAACUACGUG
rnacentral:rRNA from 1 species